AGAGUUUGAUCCUGGCUCAGGAUGAACGCUAGCGGCAGGCUUAACACAUGCAAGUCGAGGGGCAGCGGGGAGGAAGCUUGCUUUCUCCGCCGGCGACCGGCGCACGGGUGAGUAACACGUAUGCAACCUGCCCCUGUCAGGGGGACAACCCGCCGAAAGGCGGGCUAAACCCGCGUACAUGCCACCGGGGCAUCCCGGAGGCAGGAAAGGCUUCGGCCGGACAGGGAUGGGCAUGCGGCGCAUUAGGCAGUAGGCGGGGUAACGGCCCACCUAACCGACGAUGCGUAGGGGUUCUGAGAGGAAGGUCCCCCACACUGGUACUGAGACACGGACCAGACUCCUACGGGAGGCAGCAGUGAGGAAUAUUGGUCAAUGGUCGGGAGACUGAACCAGCCAAGCCGCGUGAGGGAGGAAGGUACAGAGUAUCGUAAACCUCUUUUGUCAGGGAACAAAGGCGGGGACGUGUCCCCGGAUGAGUGUACCUGAAGAAAAAGCAUCGGCUAACUCCGUGCCAGCAGCCGCGGUAAUACGGAGGAUGCGAGCGUUAUCCGGAUUUAUUGGGUUUAAAGGGUGCGCAGGCGGUCUGUUAAGUCAGCGGUCAAAGCCCGGGGCUCAACCCCGGCCCGCCGUUGAAACUGGCAGUCUCGAGUUGGAGAGAAGUAUGCGGAAUGCGCGGUGUAGCGGUGAAAUGCAUAGAUAUCGCGCAGAACUCCGAUUGCGAAGGCAGCAUGCCGGCUCCACACUGACGCUGAGGCACGAAAGCGUGGGUAUCGAACAGGAUUAGAUACCCUGGUAGUCCACGCAGUAAACGAUGAAUGCUGGCUGUCCGGGGGGACUGACCCCUGGGUGGCGAAGCGAAAGCGAUAAGCAUUCCACCUGGGGAGUACGCCGGCAACGGUGAAACUCAAAGGAAUUGACGGGGGCCCGCACAAGCGGAGGAACAUGUGGUUUAAUUCGAUGAUACGCGAGGAACCUUACCCGGGCUCAAACGGGGAGUGGCGCAGGCAGAGACGCCUGUUUCCCACGGGACACUCCCCGAGGUGCUGCAUGGUUGUCGUCAGCUCGUGCCGUGAGGUGUCGGCUUAAGUGCCAUAACGAGCGCAACCCCCGCGUGCAGUUGCUAACAGAUAACGCUGAGGACUCUGCACGGACUGCCGGCGCAAGCCGCGAGGAAGGCGGGGAUGACGUCAAAUCAGCACGGCCCUUACGUCCGGGGCGACACACGUGUUACAAUGGGUGGUACAGCGGGAAGCCAGGCGGCGACGCCGAGCGGAACCCGAAAUCCACUCUCAGUUCGGAUCGGAGUCCGCAACCCGACUCCGUGAAGCUGGAUUCGCUAGUAAUCGCGCAUCAGCCAUGGCGCGGUGAAUACGUUCCCGGGCCUUGCACACACCGCCCGUCA
rnacentral:rRNA from 1 species